rnacentral:rRNA from 1 species
AGUGAACGCUGGCGGUAGGCCUAACACAUGCAAGUCGAACGGCAGCACAGGAGAGCUUGCUCUCUGGGUGGCGAGUGGCGGACGGGUGAGGAAUACAUCGGAAUCUGCCCAGUCGUGGGGGAUAACGUAGGGAAACUUACGCUAAUACCGCAUACGACCUUCGGGUGAAAGAGGGGGAUCGCAAGACCUCUCGCGAUUGGAUGAGCCGAUGUCGGAUUAGCUAGUUGGCGGGGUAAUGGCCCACCAAGGCGACGAUCCGUAACUGGUCUGAGAGGAUGAUCAGCCACACUGGAACUGUGACACGGUCCAGACUCCUGCGGGAGGCAGCAGUGGGGAAUAUUGGACAAUGGGCGCAAGCCUGAUCCAGCCAUACCGCGUGGGUGAAGAAGACCUUCGGGUUGUAAAGCCCUUUUGUUGGGAAAGAAAUCUUUCAGGCUAAUACCCUGGGAGGAUGACGGUACCCAAAGAAUAAGCACCGGCUAACUUCGUG